CCUACGGGUGGCAGCAGUGAGGAAUAUUGGUCAAUGGACGAGAGUCUGAACCAGCCAAGUAGCGUGAAGGAUGACUGCCCUAUGGGUUGUAAACUUCUUUUAUAUGGGAAUAAAAUGUUCCACGUGUGGGAUUUUGUAUGUACCAUAUGAAUAAGGAUCGGCUAACUCCGUGCCAGCAGCCGCGGUAAUACGGAGGAUCCGACAGUUAUCCGGAUUUAUUGGGUUUAAAGGGAGCGUAGGUGGAUUGUUAAGUCAGUUGUGAAAGUUUGCGGCUCAACCGUAAAAUUGCAGUUGAAACUGGCAGUCUUGAGUACAGUAGAGGUGGGCGGAAUUCGUGGUGUAGCGGUGAAAUGCUUAGAUAUCACGAAGAACUCCGAUUGCGAAGGCAGUUCACUGGACUGCAACUGACACUGAGGCUCGAAAGUGUGGGUAUCAAACAGGAUUAGAUACCCGUGUAGUC
rnacentral:rRNA from 1 species